GGCUCUGUAGUUCAGUGGUAAAAUACUACCUUAGGGUGGUAGUGCCUCGGGUUCGAUUCCCGACAGAGCCC